rnacentral:rRNA from 1 species
GACAAACGCUGGCGGCGUGCAUAAAACAUGCAAGUCGCACGGCCUCUUCGGAGGCAGUGGCAGACGGCUGAGUAACGCGUAGGGAUCUACCCAGCAGUGGGGAAUAACGGCCCGAAAGGGUCGCUAAUACCGCAUACGACCACCUUUCGGGGUGAGGAAAGCCGCAAGGCGCUGGUGGAGGAACCUGCGUCCGAUUAGCUAGUUGGUGGGGUAACGCCGUACCAACGA